rnacentral:rRNA from 1 species
GACGAACGCUGGCGGCGUGCUUAACACAUGCAAGUCGAACGGAAAGGCCCUGCUUUUGUGGGGUGCUCGAGUGGCGAACGGGUGAGUAACACGUGAGUAACCUGCCCUUGACUUUGGGAUAACUUCAGGAAACUGGGGCUAAUACCGGAUAGGAGCUCCUGCUGCAUGGUGGGGGUUGGAAAGUUUCGGCGGUUGGGGAUGGACUCGCGGCUUACCAGCUUGUUGGGGGGGUAGUGGCUUACCAGGGCUUUGACGGGUAGCCGGCCUGAGAGGGUGACCGGCCACAUUGGGCCUGCGAUACGGCCCAGACUCCUACGGGAGGCAGCAGUGGGGAAUAUUGCACAAUGGGCGGAAGCCUGAUGCAGCAACGCCGCGUGCGGGAUGACGGCCUUCGGGUUGUAAACCGCUUUCGCCUGUGACGAAGCGUGAGUGACGGUAAUGGGUAAAGAAGCACCGGCUAACUACGUG